GCCUACGGGGGGCAGCAGUGGGGAAUCUUGCACAAUGGGCGAAAGCCUGAUGCAGCAACGCCGCGUGAGCGAAGAAGGCCUUUGGGUCGUAAAGCUCUUUCCUAAGGGAAGAAGGAAGUGACGGUACCUUAGGAGGGAGCCCCGGCUAACUACGUGCCAGCAGCCGCGGUAAUACGUAGGGGGCAAGCGUUAUCCGGAUUUAUUGGGUUUAAAGGGUGCGUAGGCGGAAUGCCAAGUCAGCGGUAAAAUCGCGGGGCUCAACCUCGCUCCGCCGUUGAAACUGGCGUUCUUGAGUGGGCGAGAAG
rnacentral:rRNA from 1 species